CGCCUACGGGGGGCAGCAGUGGGGAAUAUUGCACAAUGGGGGAAACCCUGAUGCAGCGACGCCGCGUGAGCGAGGAAGUACCUCGGUAUGUAAAGCUCUGUCAGCAGGGAAGAAAAUGACAGUACCUGACCAAGAAGCCCCGGCUAACUACGUGCCAGCAGCCGCGGUAAUACGUAGGGGGCAAGCGUUAUCCGGAUUUACUGGGUGUAAAGGGAGCGUAGACGGCAAUACAAGUCGGAAGUGAAAUACCCGGGCUCAACCUGGGAACUGCUUUGGAAACUGUAUGGCUGGAGUGCUGGAGAGGG
rnacentral:rRNA from 1 species